rnacentral:rRNA from 1 species
UACGUAGGGCGCAAGCGUUUGUCCGGAAUUAUUGGGCGUAAAGAGCUCGUAGGCGGCCUGUUGCGUCCGCUGUGAAAUCCCGGGGCUUAACCCCGGGUCGGCAGUGGAUACGGGCAGGCUAGAGGUAGGUAGGGGAGAAUGGAAUUCCUGGUGUAGCGGUGAAAUGCGCAGAUAUCAGGAGGAACACCGGUGGCGAAGGCGGGUCUCUGGGCCGAUACUGACACUGAGGAGCGAAAGCGUGGGGAGCGAACCGG